UGCGUAGGCGGCUUGGUAAGUCAGAUGUGAAAUCCUGGGGCUCAACCUCGGAACUGCAUUUGAUACUGCCAGGCUAGAGUACUGGAGAGGAGACUGGAAUUUACGGUGUAGCAGUGAAAUGCGUAGAUAUCGUGAGGAAGGCCAGUGGCGAAGGCGAGUCUCUGGACAGUAACUGACGCUGAGGCACGAAGGCCAGGGGAGCAAACG
rnacentral:rRNA from 1 species